GCCCGAGUGGUGGAAUCGGUAGACACAAGGGAUUUAAAAUCCCUCGAUGAAUAAUCGUGCCGGUUCAAGUCCGGCCUCGGGUA
rnacentral:tRNA from 1 species